UUGAUGAGAAAGUGGGCAGAUCGGCUCUAUUCACAGCUGGGGGAAACUGACCACUUUAACAAAAGGAAGAAUGCUCAGGUAACAUCUAGCCCAAAGGUCGCUCAGGAAUGUUCAAAGCACUCAGGAGAGAGUGAAGUAUCCCAUCUUUGGGACACACAAGUCCCACUCAGCAUCCAUUGAAAGCGCAGCACCAAAAGCAUUGAGAUGGUGGCAGGACCUCAUUUUCCCUCUUCUCUAUUCCCUUACUCUUUCUCCAGCACAGAAGAAGCCUUGAUCUGCUUAGAAGCACUCCCCAGCAUCUGAACCAUCUCUUCCAAGCUAUUCCCCCAGAAGACAGGAAGACUGGGCGGUUUCCUCUGUAACAGCUCCCAGAACUGCAGCUUCCAGUGGUUUCUCCCCACCAUUGCCCCUCUUGGUUUGCUGGUAGAGUGCUGAGCCUUUUAUUCUAUGUCUUUGCCAAAGGUUUUGAACAACCUUUCUCAAACAGGAGCUAAUAAGAUUC
rnacentral:lncRNA from 1 species